GAAUCCCUACGGGGGGCAGCAGUAGGGAAUCUUCCACAAUGGACGAAAGUCUGAUGGAGCAACGCCGCGUGAGUGAAGAAGGGUUUCGGCUCGGAAAGCUCUGUUGGUAGGGAAGAAAGAUAGAGGUAGUAACUGGCCUUUAUUUGACGGGAAUUACUUAGAAAGGCACGGCUAACUACGUGGCAGAAGCCGCGGUAAUACGUAGGUGGCAAGCGUUGUCCGGAUUUAUUGGGGGUAAAGCGGGUGCAGGCGG
rnacentral:rRNA from 1 species